GAAGGAAGUGUCGGGUUUCAAAACACUAUAUGGCACAGGUACGACAUCGGUUACGCAUAUUUGUCAUGUCGAGGUCAUCACAAAUGCCCCAGUUCAUUAGCAGGAGACCCUGUACUGUACAUUAUCUCUCGUGGAGCCAACCCACCACGCGCACAAACCUGCUAGCGCUAGACAAACGUUGCUUCCACGUGAGCGCCACCGCCACGGCCCAAGGCCAUACGCCCAUACCAUACUAGCCAUGCCCGGCCGCAUCUGUCCCACCCCUGCCGUCGUGUUCCCCCGCGCGUACGUGCGGGUGUGCAUGCCCAUCAUGGCAAGUGGCAAACCGCGCUUCGGCUCGGCGCGGGUCCUCUGCUCGGCAGCCGGUUUCAGCUUGCCCGGCCACGGCAUCCUCGUGUCCAGCGCACCCGCGCGCGCGGGGCGUUUGGUUUGCUUGGCACGACGUCGUGUCGCCGUCGCCGACCGAGCCGUGCGCCAUUAGAAUAUCUGAUCGCUCGACACGACUCCACUUGGGCAGGUGGUCGGUGGCCCCGAACGGAUCUGUGCUAUGCCGGCCGAACCAUCGAUGAUUGGAGGAAUAGUUGCUCGUACUUGGACCAGUACGAGCGUGCACGGUGCACCUGUAGUGGCGUGUGCGCGUACUCGAAAGGAACAGUUUGUGACGAAGGGUGUGGUCUGCCGAUUGGCCGAUUUGGCCAUGUGCCCAUUCCCGCGAAUUCAUGGCGUCGAACCGAAUGCUCACAUGGGAACGCACUGUUUGCUGCACGGCUAGGGUGCGCCCGCUGCUGCUAGCCACCGGUGCCACGCGCUGUAGCCGGGAGAUGGAUGGGUGGCGCCGGCCGCCGGCCGCCGGUGAUGAUGUUGAGCGCUCCUGCUAGGCGCUAGCGACUUUUCAGCGGGUCCUCCGGCAGGAAACACGGGCGGAUGCAGACCGAUCCAGAUUUUUCUUUUCCGUGGAUCUCAUGCCAAGGCACAAGAUUUUGUAACACUACGGGAUGAGCUACACAUACUGUACAGCGAUGAACUCAACAUAGAGCACGUUGAUGGGCUCGUGUAUGUGCAAGUUUUGGAUUAGCUUUCCAUCCGUAAGGACAGUUGAGACUGCCGAGAGCAACACUGGUCCUCCCAGAAAAAGGUGAUUGCCACGGAAAUCAGUUCUUCUCCAACCACACAAUUCGCAUGGGACCAGUGUUGCAAAUUGGCACUACAGCCAAGCAGCGCCAAGGCAUGAUGUCCGAGCAAAGAGAGGAGCACGCUCGCCCUUGCUCGCCACAUCUUUUGUGUGAAUCGGUUUGUACGGGGUCAGCCGGGACAAUCUUGGCCGGGGCAGUUAGCGAGCAGGCAGCCCAGAAGCGAGCAAACGCGACACGAGAGCCGUAUGUGCGCCGAGUCAGAAAACCACCACAGGUAGUCAGCUAACCCAAAAAGUUGCCGUUCGACGAUAUGUUAUUUCCGCCAAAAGCACCAUGACAUGGUUUUACAACAGCACGCGAGGGGGGGACGGAGAGACGACGCCAACGCAAUGACAGACACGCACGCGCGGCCAGGCAUAGGCACGGCCACUGACGCCAACCACGACGACGGCCGCCGGCAAGCCUACGCCGGCGACGACUAGAACACGGAGAAGGAAACACAACUCGGGGACGGCCCAGAGAUCAGCGCCAUGGGCACGCACACUACACUGACAAAUUCGUCUACUUGUACUUGAUGGCACCUCGAUCUAG
rnacentral:lncRNA from 1 species